GAUGAACGCUGGCGGCGUGCCUAAUACAUGCAAGUCGAGCGAACGGACGAGAAGCUUGCUUCUCUGACGUUAGCGGCGGACGGGUGAGUAACACGUGGAUAACCUACCUAUAAGACUGGGAUAACUUCGGGAAACCGUAGCUAAUACCGGAUAAUAUUUUGAACCGCAUGGUUCAAUAGUGAAAGACGGUCUUGCUGUCACUUAUAGAUGGAUCCGCGCUGCAUUAGCUAGUUGGUAAGGUAACGGCUUACCAAGGCAACGAUGCAUAGCCGACCUGAGAGGGUGAUCGGCCACACUGGAACUGAGACACGGUCCAGACUCCUACGGGAGGCAGCAGUAGGGAAUCUUCCGCAAUGGGCGAAAGCCUGACGGAGCAACGCCGCGUGAGUGAUGAAGGUCUUCGGAUCGUAAAACUCUGUUAUUAGGGAAGAACAUAUGUGUAAGUAACUGUGCACAUCUUGACGGUACCUAAUCAGAAAGCCACGGCUAACUACGUG
rnacentral:rRNA from 1 species